rnacentral:rRNA from 1 species
AAGGAACUAACAGGGAUUCCCCUAGUAACUGCGAGUGAAGCGGGAAAAGCUCAAAUUUAAAAUCUGGUAGUCUCUGGCUGCCCGAGUUGUAAUCUAGAGAAGUGUUAUCCGCGCUGGACCGUGUAUAAGUCUCCUGGAAUGGAGCGUCAUAGAGGGUGAGAAUCCCGUCUUUGACACGGACUACCGGGGCUUUGUGAUGCGCUCUCGAAGAGUCGAGUUGUUUGGGAAUGCAGCUCUAAAUGGGUGGUAAAUUCCAUCUAAAGCUAAAUAUUGGCGAGAGACCGAUAGCGAACAAGUACCGUGAGGGAAAGAUGAAAAGAACUUUGGAAAGAGAGUUAAACAGUACGUGAAAUUGUUGAAAGGGAAACGCUUGAAGUCAGUCGCGUUGGCUAGGAAUCAGCCUUGCUUUUGCUUGGUGUACUUCCUUGUUGACGGGUCAGCAUCAAUUUUGACCGGUGGAAAAAGGCUAGUGGAAUGUGGCAUCUUCGGAUGUGUUAUAGCUGCUAGUUGUAUACAUCGGUUGGGAUUGAGGAACUCAGCACGCCGCAAGGUCGGGGUUCGCCCACGUUCGUGCUUAGGAUGCUGGCAUAAUGGCUUUAAUCGACCCGUCUUGAAACACGGACCAAGGAGUCUAACAUGCCUGCGAGUGUUUGGGUGGAAAACCCGAGCGCGUAAUGAAAGUGAAAGUUGAGAUCCCUGUCGUGGGGAGCAUCGACGCCCGGACCAGACCUUUUGUGACGGAUCCGCGGUAGAGCAUGUAUGUUGGGACCCGAAAGAUGGUGAACUAUGCCUGAAUAGGGUGAAGCCAGAGGAAACUCUGGUGGAGGCUCGUAGCGAUUCUGACGUGCAAAUCGAUCGUCAAAUUUGGGUAUAGGGGCGAAAGACUAAUCGAACCAUCUAG